rnacentral:tRNA from 1 species
AGACAGGUGUCCGAGUGGUUGAAGGAGCACGCCUGGAACGCGUGUAAGGUUAAUAGCCUUCGUGGGUUCGAAUCCCAUCCUGUCUG